AAACGACGGCUCUCGGCGUCAUGCGCUCCGAGAUAUGUACAAGAUGCUGGAAAAGCAUUUUUUUUUGCGGCGCACGGUGGGUUCUUGAACUGCUCAGGACAAAUGACGGACUAUCGCAGAGCAUGAAAACGUUGAUUAGAACGUGUCUUAGAUUAUGUGGAGCUUCUGCGAUGCAUGUGACUUGCAUCGUGCUGCACAACUGUCAGAGCUGCUGUUACAGAAAAACGAAUCAACACCCUCCGACCAAUCAGAUUCGAGUGUUCAAUCUUCCACAGAUAGCAGAAUAGAAGAUCUUAAGACGUUUAUUAACCGUCCUGUGUUACUCUCUGCCCUGUAAACACACCGCGGUAUUAACUCGCGUAACCAUGGCGAACGACACGCCCACCCGAAUCCGCCGCCAACCAAUCAGGCAGCUGCACCUCUGCCCUGGGUGCUGGAAUUACAGCUUUGUUCGUUUUUCUUUUUGUCACUCGACACAUGUGCCGUGCGACACUACCAGCCCAGCUGGUCCUGCAAGACUCAAACUGACUAGCGGCACUGGCAUGCUAACACGCGUUUGCUGAGUGUUUGGUCGCUAUGGCAACAAGUUCAGAUGGAUAAGGUGAAGGAAAACGCAUGAAGGGAUUUCGUCAGCAGUUUCACCUUUUCGCAAGCGGCACCUGUGCGCAAAAUGGCGGCGCGCACACAUCCGCCCGGCGCGCGCUCCGUUACCGUGGAAACCAAGCACUGAAAAGCCCACGCCGUUUUGAAAAAGGGAAUUUUUUGACUUCUAUAUAAGGCUUCUAAGAGAGCGGAGUUUCCAGAAGGAAAGCGACUGUCAUUAUCCUGCCCAUCGCUUUUGGCGCUGCGGAGGCCGAGAGGUGAAGCAGAGGUCCUCCG
ensembl:lncRNA